rnacentral:pre_miRNA from 1 species
UGUUAACAAUUUCAUCCAUUUAUAUUGUUAAAAACUGAUAUGGCUGACAAAAUAAUCAAGCAAUAACACAUGGCAUGUCAUAUGUAUCUCAUGUUGAUGUACGAAGGUCAGUUUUAACAGCAAAAAUGGAUGAAAAUUAAUU